rnacentral:lncRNA from 1 species
GAAGCAUGACUGCUCAGGUCCCCAGAUGACUUGGGCACUUGCUUUGCUGAUUCAAGCACCAGCUCCUGCGGUCUCCCACCAGCCCUUUCUGCAGACAGAUUGACGAUGAUGGACAUAAACAUCGGCAAGAAGCGCUAGGCAGAAGGAUGGGUCUCCUUCUUGGGAACAACUCUGUUGAUGGCUGCAGUAAGCCCGAGAACACUCCGGGAACAGUGGCAUCACUUGGCUGGAUGGUGGCCCCACCUGCCUCUCCUCUGUCUGUUGUGUGAGUCCACAAUAAUGUUUGCAGAAUCCCUGGAGGCCAGCUUUGAGUCAUGUGUGAUGCACAGAGAAGAUGUGUAUCUACUGUUUUCAGACCUUACAUUGACCGCUUUGUGGUAUAAGAUGAAUUCAGAGGACCUCCAUCAUGCCUUGCUAACCUCUGUGGAGGUAAUAAAGGAUCAACUGAGUCACAUGCUCUAGAGCCACCAAGAAUAGGUGAGCUGCAUCUUGGCCUCAGGUUUGGCUCGUUUCUGUAACCAUCUGCUGCUAAUCGCUUUCCUCCCUGCGGGGCUCCCAUGGGAGCAACUGUCCAGCUGUGCCUCUUUACAAAGACUAUUGUCUCCUGGGAAUGAUCACACCCCUGCCCUGCCCCAUAUGGUGCUCCCCUUACACACCCACAUACACAAACCCACAUAACCAGGACUUGUAUGUAGGUUGUAAUCACUUAAUUAAAAAAAGAAACUUAGCAGGACUCAAGAGCUU